rnacentral:rRNA from 1 species
CAGCAGCCACGGUAAUACGUAGGGUGCAAGCGUUAAUCGGAAUUACUGGGCGUAAAGCGUGCGCAGGCGGUUUUGUAAGUCUGUCGUGAAAUCCCCGGGCUCAACCUGGGAAUGGCGAUGGAGACUGCAAGGCUAGAAUCUGGCAGAGGGGGGUAGAAUUCCACGUGUAGCAGUGAAAUGCGUUGAGAUCGGAAAGAACACCAACGGCGAAAGCACUCUGCUGGGCCGACACUGACACUGAGAGACGAAAGCUAGGGGAACAAAUGGGAUUAGAUACCCGCGUAGUCCCUGUCUCUUAUAU